rnacentral:rRNA from 1 species
UACAGAGGGUGCGAGCGUUAAUCGGAAUUACUGGGCGUAAAGCGCACGUAGUCGGCUUUGCAAGUCGGUUGUGAAAUCCCCGGGCUCAACCUGGGAACUGCAUCCGAGACUGCAUUGCUAGAGUAUGGGAGAGGGAAGCGGAAUUUCUGGUGUAGCAGUGAAAUGCGUAGAUAUCAGAAGGAACAUCAGUGGCGAAGGCGGCUUCCUGGACCAAUACUGACGAUCAGGUGCGAAAGCGUGGGGAGCAAACAGG